AUUCUAUUACUCGGUGGACAAAGC
rnacentral:siRNA from 1 species